UACGUAGGUGACCAGCGUUGUCCGGAUUUACUGGGCGUAAAGAGCGCGCAGGCGGUCGUUCAAGUCGAGUGUGAAAGCCCCCGGCUCAACUGGGGAGGGUCACUCGAUACUGAUCGACUUGAAGGCAGGAGAGGGAAGCGGAAUUCCCGGUGUAGUGGUGAAAUGCGUAGAUAUCGGGAGGAACACCAGUGGCGAAGGCGGCUUCCUGGCCUGUUCUUGACGCUGAGGCGGCGAAAAGCUAGGGGAGCAAACGGGG
rnacentral:rRNA from 1 species